GGAAGCUGCCUGGAGUCAAGGCUGGGAAUCACCUCCUGGAUUGUCAGAGGCUCAGUGGAAAGAAAAUGGAACAAGGAACACGGGGAAUGUUUUUUAAAGGAACAACGUUGAACUCUACAUUUCCCUUUUACAAGGGUCACCAGUGCAAGUUCAAGAGGAUGAAGAUCUACAGAAAUGAAGCUUGUACAAAUGGGACUAAAAAAAAAAGUUUCAGAUCUCUAGUUUAUACAGUGCGAUCAUUGUAGGCAUUUAGCCACAAGAUAUCAAUAAAGUGGGAGCAUAAAGAGCUCACUAUGUUCCAAGA